rnacentral:rRNA from 1 species
AGUAACCUGCCCUGGAUGGGGAAUAACAGCUGGAAACAGCUGCUAAUACCGCAUAAUGCAGUUGGCCGCAUGGCUCUGACUGCCAAAGAUUUAUCGCUCUGGGAUGGACUCGCGUCUGAUUAGCUAGUUGGUGGGGCAACGGCCCACCAAGGCGACGAUCAGUAGCCGGACUGAGAGGUUGGCCGGCCACAUUGGGACUGAGACACGGCCCAGACUCCUACGGAAGGCAGCAG